rnacentral:tRNA from 1 species
GGGGAUGUGGCUUAGUGGUAGAGUGCUUGCCUAGCAUGCAUGAAGCCCUGGGUUCAAUUCCUCAGUACCA